UACGUAGGGUCCUAGCGUUGUCCGGAAUUAUUGGGCGUAAAGAGCUCGUAGGCGGCCUGUUACGUCUGCUGUGAAAUCCCGGGGCUUAACCCCGGGCGUGCAGUGGAUACGGGCAGGCUGGAGGCAGGCAGGGGAGAACGGAAUUCCCGGUGUAGCGGUGAAAUGCGCAGAGUAUCGGGAGGAACACCGGUGGCGAAGGCGGUUCUCUGGGCCUGUACUGACGCUGAGGAGCGAAAGCGUGGGGAGCGAACAGG
rnacentral:rRNA from 1 species